rnacentral:rRNA from 1 species
UACGAGAGGCCCAAACGUUAUUCGGAUUUACUGGGCUUAAAGAGUUCGUAGGCGGCGGGGCAAGUCUGAUGUGAAAUCCCGGGGCUCAACCCCGGAACUGCAUUGGAUACUGCCUUGCUUGAGUACUGGAGAGGAGACUGGAAUUUACGGUGUAGCAGUGAAAUGCGUAGAGAUCGUAAGGAAGGCCAGUGGCGAAGGCGAGUCUCUGGACAGUAACUGACGCUGAGGCACGAAGGCCAGGGGAGCAAACGGG